ACGAAAACUUAUUCAAAAAGAACGUACCAUCAGAAAUAACAGAAGCCUCGUCUUUUUCUUCUUCCUCUUCCUCUUCUUUUUCAUCUUCAUCUUCUUCUUUUUCUACUGUUCUGGAUGAU
rnacentral:ribozyme from 14 species